UGGCACAGUUGUUAAAGCGUUUGACUGCUAAUCGAAGGGUUGGUGGUUCAAAACCACC
rnacentral:tRNA from 1 species